rnacentral:rRNA from 1 species
AACGCGAAGAACCUUACCUGGGCUCGAAAUGCUACGGACCAGCUUAUGAAAGUUUGCCUUCCCGCAAGGGACCGUAGUAUAGGUGCUGCAUGGCUGUCGUCAGCUCGUGUCGUGAGAUGUUGGGUUAAGUCCCGCAACGAGCGCAACCCUUGUCCUGUGUUGCCAUACCGAAAGGUGGAACUCGCAGGAGACCGCCAGGGAUAACCUGGAGGAAGGUGGGGAUGACGUCAAGUCCUCAUGGCCUUUAUGUCCAGGGCUACACACGUGCUACAAUGGACGGUACAAAGGGUCGCCAACCCGCGAGGGGGAGCCAAUCCCAAAAAACCGUUCUCAGUUCGGAUUGCAGGCUGCAACUCGCCUGCAUGAAGCUGGAAUCGCUAGUAAUGGCGGAUCAGAACGCCGCCGUGAAUACGUUCCCGGGCCUUGUA